UCUAAUUAAUCUAUUUUUUUUUUAUCCACAGGAUCCUAACAAAUCAUCUCAGUCUGUUUACCCUCCAAAGUAUCCUCUGUUAAGGACAUAUUUUGUAUAACCUCAGUCCAAAAAACGUUGAUGAAUUAAUUGCUGUUAAGUUACUUCAUCAUGCAAAUGCUUCUGAUUCAGAGGACUUAUGCUUUAGUUUUAAGAUACUGAAGGAGAGGAUUUGAUCAUUGCACAUCUACCAGGAAAGGAAGGAUUCCGGAUUUGGCUGAAUGCCAUAAUAGUGGAUUCAGCGCAUCCCUAGUUCUGCCACUACCUUGUACAAAGUUUUAAGGAAAGUAUUUUGUGUACCUUUAAGCAAGUAUUAUGUGUACCUUUAAAAUGUUGACAAACAAAUACUCUGCAUACAAAAUGGGCAAAGUAUGAGAGCUCUGUUCUACAUUUACAUUAAAUUAUUCCUGUAUUAGGUUUCAUAUUUUAUAAUCCUAUAAUUCUAACAGUGCUCUAUUAUUUUAAAUUUUGACCAUUUUACCAAGUGAGUGAGUCAUUAAACUGCAUAUGAUAUUAACAUAUUUCUGCCUCAUUAGGUUGAAAGAAUUAUGUGACGAAAACAAUCACAGCAAAUGCAGUGCGAGAAUUUUCUUUAUGUUUUAGCCAUUUAUUUUCUGGAAAAACCAUUCAUUUACUUUGACUAUUAAAUUAGCAAUUAAUUAACCCCUAACAGGGUAAACAGCUUUGGUUUCUGCAUGUAUCACACACCCAACUGUUGAAAGAUAACAAGCGAGGCUGGAAUAUGUACAUUGAAUGAAGUUCGUAUUGUUGCCUUUAGGGAGAAGGGUGUCCGCGGAAAGGAAUUUAAGACUUACGUAUGCCGGAGAUCCUGCCAAAAAAGAGGAAAAAAAAGAUUUGGCGGAAAAGCAUAUAACAGAUAGCCUUCCAGCUAUAUACAGACAUUUCAGCCUGUGACGUUGCUAUCUCAGAUACCAGGUCAAGACCGUGUCACUGAUGAAUGAUCAGACCUGGUGGGUGUAAGCGCUACGUAGGAAGGGUUGCAUCAACCUGGGGCGGAACUAUAAUUCUUGAAAGUGGGAGUAAUUUUAGGUGCUAUUGAAAUAUUGAGAUUUUAAGUGUUAUGUAGUGGCAUUGGGGGGGGGGGGGUGAGAGGAGAUCAAGUAAAUUCACAUAUUACUGUUUCUAAUUUUUCUCCAUCUGGAAACAGACUAAGAAUUACACUCACCACUCACUUACUCUUGAGGGCUAUGCAUCUGUUUUCAGCCUCAGGAAUUUAGCUCCUACAGGAUAAUUCUGCUUGAAAUAAGGCAUUUUUGGUCAGAGACAAACAACUGUAAGGCCUUUGGGCAGCUCUUGUGACUAGUCCUAUAUAAGCAAUGAUUCUUCCCUUGCCUUGAAGGCAACGUUAACCAGCUUAAUUGGGAUAUAAGGAUCCAUUUACCCAGUGGAAAGCAGGGUACAAAGUGCAAAAA